rnacentral:tRNA from 1 species
GGGGUCGUAACUCAGUUGGUAGAGUGUCUGAUUGAAGAUCUGAUUGUCGCUGGUUCGAGUCCAGCCGUCCCCA